ensembl:rRNA 5S_rRNA 5S ribosomal RNA
GCUUAUCGUCACACUACCCUGAGAACGCCCGAUCUCGUCUGAUCUCGGAAGCUAAGCAGAGUUUGGCCUGUUUAGUACUUGGAUGGGAGACCACCUGGGAAUACAAAGUGCUGUAAGCU